UACGUAGGGGGCAAGCGUUGUCCGGAUUUAUUGGGCGUAAAGAGCUCGUAGGCGGUCUGUUGCGUCUGCCGUGAAAACCCGAGGCUUAACCUCGGGCCUGCGGUGGAUACGGGCAGACUAGAGGUAGGUAGGGGAGAACGGAAUUCCCGGUGUAGCGGUGAAAUGCGCAGAUAUCGGGAGGAACACCGGUGGCGAAGGCGGUUCUCUGGGCCUUACCUGACGCUGAGGAGCGAAAGCGUGGGGAGCGAACAGG
rnacentral:rRNA from 1 species